rnacentral:rRNA from 1 species
UACGUAGGGUGCAAGCGUUGUUCGGAAUUACUGGGCGUAAAGGGCGCGUAGGCGGUCGUGACAAGUCACUUGUGAAAUCUCCGGGCUUAACUCGGAACGGUCAAGUGAUACUGUCGGACUAGAGUACAGAAGGGGCAACUGGAAUUCUCGGUGUAGCGGUGAAAUGCGUAGAUAUCGAGAGGAACACCUGCGGCGAAGGCGGGUUGCUGGGCUGAUACUGACGCUGAGGCGCGAAAGCGUGGGUAGCAAACAGG